CCGAAGUUGUUCUAAGUGCACCUCUACUGAGGGUUCUAGGACUUCGACUCGGUCACUUUUACCCUGAUCGUGGAGGAAGCAGGAGUGGUCGAAGGACCGUUUUGGAAUCGUUUUUAGGAAAGCUCGCGGCUAGGUAGAGUUAGGAGUAGGGUAGUGGCGGAACCGUUUGAAACCCUGAUACUCCAGGUGGCGACCGGCAUCAUCCGUAGCAGAGCGACCACUCCAACCGACAACCCAGCGCUUCUGGACUCCACCAAGGGGUCGAAGUUCCGGGGUGAACCCCCAAGCAGCUCGUCCGUCAACACACGAGCUGGGCGGCGUCCAUCAACACACGCCGCGGUCGAACCCUCGACAACCAACCGACCGGAACGAGACGGCCUCGUGGAGGCCUAGGUACACCACCAAGUUCCCGCGCGCAUCCGCGCCGUCGUCGCAACCGACGCUAUCAUCGCAGCAUCCUAGCUGCACACCUGUGCGCCCCCGCAUACCGGAAGUGAUGCUGAACACCCGCCGAUAGUGCCAACCCGUCUGCUGUUAGCCGCCGGCCGAACCAUCUCGCCGUGGCCGAAGCGGUAAGCGCGCCACCACCUGAUCGCCGGAUCGCCAACCAACACACGUAAAUCCAUGGUCGUGUAAGUACAAACCCUUUUUCGACAUGCGCAUGAUCGAUCGUUUGCCAACACUCUUUCCGCCAACCCAGUGGGCAACAUAAGCCACCCCCAUGUUAUGUUGCGUGAUCGCAAGCCCCAGUGAGUUAUAGCGAUCCCCGAAUGAAUUUCGCCCCCCAAGCCAACGCACACUACUAGCCAGCCAGUGCACUGCCGUCAGGUAGAGAGACAGAAAUUCUCUUGUGGUACCGAGGUACCGUGGUAGACUAGCAUGCAGAAGAUCUCUGGAUCGAAUCUCGUAGGGCCCGAAGUAUUUUUUUGUAAUUAAAUAAAAUUGUAGCUACGAAAAUGCGAACCUGAAUAUACGUUUUUUUGAGUUUCUAGAGUAA